UACGGAGGGGGACUAGCGUUGUUCGGAAUUACUGGGCGUAAAGCGCACGUAGGCGGAUUGUUUUAGUCAGGGGUGAAAUCCCGAGGCUCAACCUCGGAACUGCCUUUGAUACUGGCAAUCUCGAGUCCGGAAGAGGUGAGUGGAAUUCCUAGUGUAGAGGUGAAAUUCGUAGAUAUUAGGAAGAACACCAAUUGCGAAGGCAGCUCGCUGGGACGUUACUGACGCUGAGACGCGAAAGCGUGGGGAGCAAACAGGG
rnacentral:rRNA from 1 species